GACGAACGCUGGCGGCGUGCUUAACACAUGCAAGUCGAACGGAAAGGCCCUGCUUUUGUGGGGUGCUCGAGUGGCGAACGGGUGAGUAACACGUGAGUAACCUGCCCUUGACUUUGGGAUAACUUCAGGAAACUGGGGCUAAUACCGGAUAGGAGCUCCUGCUGCAUGGUGGGGGUUGGAAAGUUUCGGCGGUUGGGGAUGGACUCGCGGCUUAUCAGCUUGUUGGUGGGGUAGUGGCUUACCAAGGCUUUGACGGGUAGCCGGCCUGAGAGGGUGACCGGCCACAUUGGGACUGAGAGACGGCGCAGACGCCUACGGGAGGCAGCAGUGGGGAAUAUGGCACAAUGGGCGGAAGCCUGAUGCAGCAACGCCGCGUGCGGGAUGACGGCCUUCGGGUUGUGAACCGCUUUCGCCUGUGACGAAGCGUGAGUGACGGUAAUGGGUAAAGAAGCACCGGCUAACUACGUG
rnacentral:rRNA from 1 species